UUGUUUUGAUUCUAAGAUUGAAGGUAAAGGGUCUUUUUUAAAGGAAAGGAAGGAAAGAAGGAAGGAAGGAAGGAAGGAAGGAAGGAAGGAAGGAAGGAAGGAAGGAAGGAAGGAAGGAAGGAAGGAAGGAAGGAAGGAAGGAAGGAAGGAAGGAAGGAAGGAAGGAAGGAAGGAAGGAAGGAAGGAAAGGAGGAAGGGAGGGAGGGAGGGAGGGAGGCAGGGAGGGAGGGAGGGAGGAAAGAGGAAGGGAGAGAGAGAGAGAGAGAGUAAGAAAGAAAGAAAGAAAGAGAGAGAGAGAGAGAGAGAGAGAGAGAGAGAGAGAGAGAGAGAGAGAGAGAGAGAGAGAGAGAGAGAGAGAGGAGGGAGGGAGGGAGGGAGGGAGGAAGGAGGAGGAAGGAAGGAAGGAAGGAAGGAAGGAAGGAAGGAAGGAAGGAAGGAAGGAAGGAAGGAAGGAAGGAAGGAAGGAAGGAAGGAAGGAAGGAAGGAAGGAAGGAAGGAAGGAAGGAAGGAAGGAAGGAAGAAGGAAGAAGUAAGGAAGGAAGGAAGAAAUACUAUUCUUAGUCCUAUAGGUUUCCAAGGGAAAGGAUUUCACAGCCUCCUGCUGCCUCAGUCACCUCACCACCCCUGCCCACAGGCCACCCUUUCCCACAUAUCUCCUUCUCUGGAAACUGGAUUGGGGGGUGGGAACUCACAGAACCCAUAAAAGUAAAAAUGGAUUUUGAAAGACUCAAGAACCCUAAUCAAUGCAGCAGCCAACUGCAAUUCCAGAGGGCCAGUGAUGACGUGCUCCCCACCUCCUGACAGAUAGCUGACAGGUACAGAAUACAAAAUGAGAUAUACAUUUGUGGGGGGGACACAAUGCAGGAAUUUGUUCAAUUCAAUUAUGCAUAUUUGUUACAAGGGUUUUAUUUUGCUUUUUUAAUAGAGAAAACAGAAAAUAGAUUUUUGUACAUUGAAAAAGGCAAAAUAAAAUUUUAAAAGUAAAUUAAAACA
rnacentral:lncRNA from 1 species